UCUUCAAUAAUAAAAAAACCCUAAACACCUCUGUGUGCUCUGGCGAUCGAAGCAUCUCCUCGUCCCAUUCCUGCUUCAAAGGGCAUUCUCGCCCAAUCGCAGUAGCAGUCAAUUUCUCUCACAAAAUGCCUCUCGUUCCCUCGAUCGGUUCCCUCUUCCAGUUUCGGAACAUUCUCACAUUGUCGAUGCCACCCAAUCUAUCCAUUGCUCCUUCAAGCAACCCUAACCACCACAGAGGCUCCGAUGGAGGAUGAGGAGGUGGGACCUAUGGGAACUAUGGGGAUUUCCGCUCUCAAAGUUACUAGCGAUGGGAGAGCUCGAUUUGGGAUUACUCGGAGUGGGUGCUCUUUCCCUGGAGAUGUAGGGACAAAUAAUCCUCCUGCAAAGGCGGGUGCUCGGUCGAUGGGAAAGAAUUUGGUGUUCCUCGUGUUGAAAUAACCUUCUCAAUUUAGUGCAUCAGCGAAUGGGGCCUCUAUCGGUAAAGAGAUGGUACAGUUUGCCUCCCCCUUGUCUCCGGAAUCCUAAUUAUCGUAAAUGGCCUCCUCACUGUCCCUACCAGGUCAGGAAUGCUUCCCUACAGAACCUGGACAUUUAAGUUCACAAGAUAUUUUGCAUCAGCAGGAGAUUCCCAUUUAUCCCCUACAUUCUCGACGAGGACACCGUCCGAAGCAAUGAUCGAAUGGGAACCUCCUGCUGAUGUAGGGAACCUCCUGAUACAAAAUAUCUCGCAAACUUAAAUCUCCAAGCUCUGCUGAGAAGCAUUCCUGACCGAUAGAGAUAGUGAAGAGAUCAUUUACGAUAACUAGGGAUUCCGAAGACAAGCAGGAGGCAAACUGCACCAUACAGAGGCCCCAUUCGCCACCGUCACCGUGACGAUGCACUGAAUCAACUAUCUCUCAACACGAAAAACACCAAUUUCUUUCUCAUCGAGGUAGUCACUUGCACCCGUCCUCACACAAGGACUAUCUACCCCUGCAUCUCUAGGGAAAGAACACGCACCUCCGACUAAUCCAAAUCGAGCUCUCUGAGUUCGCAUCCUCCUCCUCCACCCGAGCCUCCGUGCUGGUUAUGGGUGAAAUCGACUGAGCAAGAAUGUUCUAGAACCGAAAAAGGGAAUUGAUCAAGGGGACGGAAGGCAUUUUGUGAGAGAAAUCAAUGAGUCAGAUUCUACAUAAUAAAACCUAUGGGACAGUGAUGGAAGGAUUGCACGAGAAUGUGAUUUGAUUGCCGGAACAGGAGAAGGCAUCCAUGGAUUUUGAUUUUGGGAGGGAUGAUCCCGAAGACCAGCAUCAUGAAUGCCCUAUCAUGCAGGGUCCUAAGAAUCCCGAGUAUCCCGAUAUGCAUAUUUCAAAGAAGAUUAUAAGGCGCGACUCUAAAUAAUGGAAAGACCAACUCACUUCAAUUAAAAAAAUUCUUCCUUCAGCAUUUUCAUCGCAUGAAUCUUCCGAGGCCGGAUACCAGACCCGCCAACAAUUGCGGUGAACGCCCUUGCCCAGCACAAUGCUCAGGAAAACAGAGCAAAGCUCCAGCUAUCGUACCUAAAAGAUGGGAAACCACCGGACAGAGGAAAGCUUAAAUUCAAAAUUGACGAUUCAUCAGUAUAAGGUAGAGGUGAUGACCCAUUUAUAGUUUAAUGGGUCAAGCCUCAUUUCCCAAAACACCCAUGAUAGGUUUUGAAAAUAAAGAGGCUGACAUAUAUGAGUCUUAAAUGGGUCUGAGAGCAAACCCAUUUAAGACCCAUUUAUCAACCCACUAAAAAUAAACCCAUUUACAGAGAGACUUUCUCUUCUCUAUUUAACUUUACAAAAAUAUAUAUAUAUUUUUUAUAAAAACUGAAAUUAUAAUUAUUUUUUAUUUUAAUUUUCUUUUCUUUUUUCUUUUUCUUUCCUUUUUUUUCUUUCUUCUUCCUCCGGUCGCUAGCACGCCGAUGACCAGCGACCGUCCAAGCGAGCCUCGAGCUCGCCAGCGUCGGGCAAGCUUGAGCCUCGCUAGAUCCGGCCGAGGGCGAGCUCAAGCUCACUCGACGCCAACGAGCCUCGAGCUCGCCGGAUUUGGUGAGGCGGAGGCCUUGCCCUCAAGCCCGGUUUCACAUAUCUCCUUUAUUUUUAUUUAGUUUUUUUAAUAUAAAUUUUAGUAAAACCCUAUUACUAGUAAUGCAAAUGAUCCUAAUUAAAAAUUAGGAAUUAAAAAUUAAUCCACAAUUUAAUGAAACUUUUUUUAGGAAUUAAAAAUUAAUCCACAAUUUUUAAUGCAAUUAAUGAAUGAUUAAAUAGGUUGGCAAAAUUUAAGUGUCAACAAUGGGAAACCUAGCGGCAUGCAUAUUUUUGAAGAAGAUAUUGGGUGGUGCUAAAUGACAAAAGUUCUUUAGCCUUCGCAUGAACUAAAAUUACUCCUUAUCGCAACCUACUCGAGCUCCAGAAUGUUUCAGUUUAUGCUCCUACCUAUUAUCUGGAUAUACCAAGAAGGAUGUACGGUCUAAUGAGGCUACUAUGAAAUAUUUACUCAUGGGUGGGGCAAGCUCUUCUAUUCUGGUUCAUGGUUUCUCUUGGCUAUAUGGUUCAUCCGGGGGAGAGAUCGAGCUUCAAGAAAUAGUGAAUGGCCUUAUCAAUACACAAAUGUAUAACUCCCCAUGAAUUUUAAUUGCGCUUCUAUUCAUCACUGUAGGAAUUGGGUUCAAGCUUUCCCUCGCCCCUUCUCAUCAAUGGACUCCUGACGUAUACGAAGGAGUGCGGUUCGUUGAGGGAACAGGUUUAAGAAUAUUGCUUAAAGGACAAACCUAAGGCUCAUGAUUAGGCGCGGGCUCUCUCAAGCCCAUACCUUGCAUGACGUUGGAGUGUUCUUUAAGAAUUUUACAAAAUGAGUUGCCACUAACCUAUUGAGAUCGGCUAAAAACCAAGUGAGCCAUGGGAGUAUAGCUCACUUCCUACGCAACCAAAGAAUCUAGGGUCGAUAACUUGAUUAUACUAAUUGGGCAAUUAGUGCCAUUUCAAUACCUAAUCUUAUUCAUUUUAAAAGAAAAGAUUUUUAUUAGAUAGUUUGGAUUAAUUUUACACCUAUCCACUAACAUGUGAGAUGAUCAUACAGGUGCGCAGUCAUUAAAAUAAUAAUUAGCAACCAAGAAAAACAUUAAAUAAAUUGCACAGGAAAGUAAAGAAUUAAUACUAUAGAGAAGACAAAUGCUAAUCCUAACUAAACUAAAGAGAAGCCAAACUCCACGUGUCAACAUAUGCACUCAAAGACAAUUGUCUCUAAGGACGGUUGAAACUCAAAGGUAAAAUCUUAAAGGCUUAGUUAAUUUUUUUUUAGCACAACUCUAGAGUUAAGAAACUUCCAUUUUUUUUUUAAAAAAAAGAUCAUAAAAUCUUUUGUAGAACUUUUCGAAAGAAAAUUUGAAUUUCCUGACAUUUUUCAAUUUUUUUUUCAAUUUUUUAAUUAAAAAAACUCGAAUUUUCAAUAUUUUUUGAUUUUUUUAAUGUUCUUUUUAAUAUAUUUUUAAUAGUUAAUAUUAUUAUAUUCAGAAAAAAUAGGUCCAGACCGGUAAACCCAAUCCAGUCCGUUGGCUUGACACAAAACCCGGAUUAAAACUUAAAAAAAUAAACAAACAAAACCGAUUUCUUAAAACCUCUUUUUUUUUUGUUUUUUAUAUUAAUAUUAAUAUUUUAAUCAUUUUUUUUUUUGUCUUUUCACUAUUUCGUCUUUUUACUACAUCUCUUCUCGUCGGCUUCUCUUUCCCGAAGCCAGCUUUUUGUUUCAUUUUUUCUGCAAUUUUUCUUUUUCUAUUUUGUUUUUGUUUUGCUUUUCCUUUUUUAUUCUUUAUCCCUUUUUUUUGUCUUUUUUUUUUAACUUCAUCCCUUCCCUGCACCUUCCCCUUCCACGACUUCUCCUUCUCGAAGUCAUUUUUGCCUUCUUUUCUCUAUUUUUUUUUUUCUGAUUUUUCUUUUUCCUUGUUCUUUUUUAUUUCCCCUCUGGCGUUCUUCUUCUCCCCCGACGCUUCUUCCUCAAUUUGCGCCAUCCUCACCAAACUAAAAACAACACCGCGGCGAACCCUCACCGGUGUUUGGAAGGUCGCCAAGCUACCAUUUGGCGACAGUCAUUCGUUCCAGCCAGUCAUUCGUUCCAACCGACGAUGACCACUGUUGGACACCCAUUCCAGUAACCACAAACCCAUUUUUCGGCGCGAAGAAAAACGUCAUCGACUCAAACACGCAUGAAUAUUUCUCACGAACACUACGAAAACACCACAAAUACGAGCAAAGCAAGCAGGAAUCAGCAGGCAUGGGAGAAAAACAAGUUGAUCUUGCGUUAAAACAUACAGUGCUCUUCGGUUUUUUAUUAAGGCAUUUUAUCGAACACAUAAGACGCACUAACUAGAGAAGUAAGCAUAGACUCGACUGGGGCUCGGGUUCAGGCCAAGAUCAUCACACGAUAUACAAGCACUAUUCUGAAUCAGCUCAGGGACAAGUUUAUCAGCAUUCAAUUUGAGUUUAAACAAAAAUAACAAGCCUCGGCCAUAACACCAAAUACAAACAAAUAUUUGCAUAAAGCACUACAAUAAGCACGCAUACGCUGUGUGAGGAAAGAACAAAAAAGAAAAAAGAAAAGGGCAGACAUACCAGGGAAUGACCUGAUUCGAAGGGGAGCGGUGGACGACAGCUCUGGGGCGGACGACUGGCGACGGCGAAGCUGUCCUUCAGUCUCACUCUCUCCCUUAGGCUCGCCCUCUACUCUCUCGAGCUCUCUCCAACCCUCUCGGUCUCUUUCCCUGUUCUCUGUGUUCUGCCCCCCGUCUCCCUGUGUUGCUGUAUUUGUGGAGUUCUUCUGCUGAGCUCGUUCGGGGAAGAGUUGCGGUGGACAACGGCGGGCGGAGGGGAACUCCGGCGGUAGCACAGGCAGAGACGGAGCGGCGAGAAAGCAGCGGUGGGGGUCGGCGCUGGGUCACGGACAGGGCUGGAGCAGAGGCGGCGCCGCGGGCGGAGGCGUCGGGUUGCAAGGUCGACGGCAGCAACGGUGUCGAGCAGAGGCAGCAAACAGCAGCAGCUCGUCGGGGCCGGUGAACAACGCCUGGCAGUCGUCGUGGGUCAGCAGGCGCGCACGGAGCGGCGGUGGCCAGGAGCAGCAACGACAGACGUUGCAGAUCUCGCGGCGGAAGAUGGGGCGGCGUUCUGGCGCGAGGCUGGCAGAGGCGAGUCGCGGUAGGAGCGGCGUCUGGAGUCGCAAUCGGGGCUGGUCGCAGGAGCUGCGGUGGUCGGCGCAGGGGGACGGUCAGUCGCGGAGAUGCGGCGGGGGCUCGGUGAGAGGGCUCGCAGGUUGCUGCAGGUUGCUGCGGCGGCGUUGGGUUGCAGGCGGAGCGGCGGUGGCCGGCAGAAGGAGACACCGGCGUUCGGAGGCGAGGGAGUUCAGCCAAGAAGAAGAACCGUGGCCCUCCUGUUUUUCCCCCGGUUUCACCCCCUCUCUCGAGCUCCCCCUCUCGGUUCUCUCUGUGUUUUUCUCUGUCUUUGGUGUGUUCUGUCCACCCCCCCUCCGUCCUCCCUUUCUCUCACUUUUUGUUCUGCUCCCGACCCGCGGAUCACGCUGGCCGCCUGCCACCCGAUCUCCCUGCUCCUCUGUUGCUGCUCUGCAGGUCUGCGCGAAGACCAGCUGGAGGGAGACGACCAGCUCGUUCGCGGGCUGGGCUGAAGGGAAAAAAAGGCUGGGCCGGGUCGGGUCGGGUCGGGCCGAGGCCAAGGCCGGAUCCGCCCGACCCGACCGAUUUUGUAUUUUUUAAAAAAUUAAUUAAUUAAUUUUUCUCUCUCUCUUUUUUUUUUUUUGGUGACUAAUUCCUAACCUUUAAUGCUAUUUUUAAUUAAUUAAUUUAGACAAAAUUUAGAUGUCAACACUCCUCAUGUAGAGUACAAUUGGAUAAGGCCCAUUGAGUUUAACCUUGAUCGUAUGCAUGUGCACGUUUUUCCUCCCCAAAAUGCUCAAGCUACCAGCUAGCUGCUCUAAAAGUUAAUGAUUUCUAAGUAAUGCCAAGGGAAUUGAAAGCCAAGGAAAUUAUGGGAUGAUACCUGACUUUAUAGAUAGAUCGUGAUAUAGGAUUGUCGCGUCAACGUUAAUGAAUGCUCUUAUUUACUCGAUAGUUAAAUGAAUUUUCAAAUAAAUAGAACUUUUUUUUACGGAAUAUUUGUCUAAAAUCCCGUCUAAUAUUAUCAAUAAAUGGAAUUAAAUAAAAUGUUUUAGAACACUACUCUACAAAUUAAAAAAAAAAAAAAAACAGAGAUUGAAAAUUUGGAAAAUAUGUCAAGAUAAGCUUUGCUUUGGUCAAUGAAGAAAACAAAAAGGAAAAAUUACACAAAUGAUCUCUCAAUUAUGGCCAAAUGUGUAAUUUUAUUCAUAAACUUUUAAUUUAUUUCAUUUUAACCCAAUGUGUAAUAUGAUCUCCGAACUAUUAAUUUAUUUAAUAUGGUCCAUGAAAUUUUGGUAUAUAUUUAAUUUAAUUCAUAAACGAUAGGAAAACAAAUAUCAUCCUUCUAUCAAUUCAAGUUUUGGAACAAUAUUAAAUAUUUUAUAUGUGCAGAACUUUGCCUGAUUUGUUCAAUAGUAGCAUUUCCUAUCGCACUCUGAAUAUUUAAAUUCCACUGGGCUAGUAACUUCCUCAACUCUUUAUCUGUUCAUCUUGAUUAAGGAAUUUGAACCUUUUGGUGUUGAAGGUGGAUACAGUGAUUCUCAGAAGAGUGCUCAUCUUGUACUGUUUGUACAUAAUAGACUGUUUAGGGGAGUUAUCCCGUAAUCUACAGCCUUAGCAUAGUGGAUCUUAGCAUCACGUGCUUGCUGUCUUUUUAUCUCUUGUCCUAGAUAUGUCUUGCUGCUUUACCGUCAUAGUUAUCAGAGUGGUUAGCGAUUCAUAUGACAAGAUGAUCUCAAUAUACUCGGGUCUUAUCUCUGAGAGGCUCAAAAUGAAUCUCUAAGAUUGACUUUCAGCUUUCUGAUCCAAAUGGAUACAUUACGGGAGACGAUGGUUCCUUCUGUGCUUUUUCAAUGUGCUCGCACGAGUGUCUUUAUCAUAUGCUAAAUAGAUAGACAGUUUCCUUGCAGUAAUGAGGAACCUAAGGGUGCUCUAAUUAUACGCGGGAAGUUUACAGCUCAAGGAUGAUCCAUCUUGGGGAAAAUCCAAAAGAUGGACUGCUAGGUAUAUGGGGCAAGUUAACUUUUCAAUGUGUCAACGCAUCGUAGAUUGCAAUUAUAAAAAGAAAAUUAAAAAAGACCCCACAUUAAUAUGACUUGACUAGCCAAAGAAAUAAGGUGUGUACUUAACAUUUGACUUAGGGGAGUCCUAUGGCUGUGAAUUUGAAAGAUAAAACCUUUCAAGCCGAUCAUUGGCUAAUUGGCCACUAAAAUCAAUUACUAUCGGGAGCGAGAAACUCCAUCGACUCUAUCAACUUCGAAUGUAAUCCACCUGCGUCAUCAAAGAAAACAUUACCCUCCCUUACGAUGCACCAACCUGACCUUUCUUUCGGAAGGUGAUUGUGCAUUAGAUCGACUUAUGAGAAUUGUAAAGAGCAGGAAUUAGUCUCGCGAUAGUGGUUGGCUGGCCCCAUAACUGCAAUGUUGCAGGGCUUUUCUUGGGGAAAACGAAAGCAUCAUGACCAAUUCCGAGAUCACCAAACAACGGGUUCCCAGAUUUAUGGAGCUGAGGUCAUCGUGAUUGGUACUACAUACAGACAACUCAACGUAGAUGCUCUAUGGAUUUGAGACUAGCUUCGUCCCUCUUCGACUCACCCAGAUAUCUAGAGCUGUUAUUCGCAAGUCGGGGCAAAUGCUUCGGUAAUGCUGUUUAUGUACUCGAGAGUAAACGACGGCAUCCGGGCACUCAAUACGUUUGCCGACAUCAUUCCUCAAUGCUUCAUGGAAGUUCCACACACAAAUGCUUUUUCUAAUUUGCAAGCCCGUGUUUUCCCUACGAAGACUUUACAGCCGAAUGAUAGAGGUCAGAACGGUCACUCUUCAAUUCAUCCCAUCUAUGCUUUUCGUGAACGUAAGUGAGAACUGAAUUGAACCCGCGCGUAUCUCACUGCAUAGAAGCAACCUACGAGUCUUCUGUUUUAGGACAGCACGUUACCCAAUUCGUGAACUCUCUCGAUCUCUUUCAGUGUCCAUAAAAAUAUUAAGUGUGGGUAACCAACAAAAACGUUCAAAUAAGAAAAAAUAGCAAUAUAAGGACAAGAGAGACUAACACGAAGUCAUGAAAUUGGCGAUCGAAAUAUGUAGGGGAAUGCUCACUAUACAUCGUCUGGCACAUAAUUUAUAUAUAUAAGAGCGAAAGAGGGAGGAAAGCAAAGUUCACUGAUGAUGCUCGACCCAAAAACAAAAAAAAAAGUUCACUGCUGCGGUCUUGUUGCUUUUCAAGGGGCUAUACUUGUUGCUUUUACAUAGGUGUCUUCAUCGAUACCCAAGAAGCUCAUAACUACAUCCUCCAGUGCCGCUCGGAAGCCCCCAUGUGGCGGCGCAGCGGCCCUGCACGAAAUCACCAUUACAACGUCCCAAGUUUGGAUCAUCGAGGCUGUGAUUAGCUCACGCAUCGAUUUCAACGAUAAUAACAGAAGAAACCGAGCGUUUUUAGGAGAACAAAGAUGACCAAACUGGAUUACCUGAAAACAUCGAAGUAUUCUCGAUUGGCCCCCAUGUCAAUUCCACAUAUCUGCGCACGCGCAAUGAGCAUUUCAAAAUUAUCGAUACGCUGAGCUCCUGAUAUGAUCCUCUUGCCUGAAAGAGUGUAAUACAAAUCAGAAGUUGGCAUAUCAAUAUGGGUUUAAUGCAAGAAUUGUUGGAUUCAUUUGGGCAACUCUCAAGCAUCCAUCGCACAAUACGCGUGAGAUUCACUGGGUGUAAAUGGCCUCAGGAUGCAACUUUAUGAGAGAGGCCAUGCAAAGGAGAAAGGAGAAGCCUCAGAAUACAUGGAAGUUCUAAACUACGUGGGAGUUAGCGAACACGUCUCUCGACAAGACUUCGCAGAAUAAAAGAAUCGAUGGGACACGCACUUGUCCUAAGAUUAAAAUCCUCUGCCAUCCGAUUCCCUCCCUAUGUUUCUUUUUGAACAAUUUGAACACAGAUUUAAAACGAUCCAAACCAACCGUAAACCCAAAUAUAAAACAUUACAGGGGCAUAUUUCCAGACCAUCAAGUAGAGAAAAUUUGCUGAAGGUAAAGAAUGGUCCAAAACUUCACCUCUAAUAUAAGCAUGGAAUGAAUUACUGUAGGCAGGAUCAUCAUAGCAUGGCAUGGUGUGGAAUGGCUUAUUAACCAAAGGAUGACGGUGAAGUAUAUAAAACUCGGUGCCAUACCUAAGAAUAAGAGAAAGCUUGGUAGGUUAAUCAUUGCGGAAAAUAAUUGAAUAACAAUCAAAAGCCUAACUCAGAACUUAAGGCACAUCAAAGAUUAUUUUAACUUAUUACUUUUCUCGAACCAGCUGACCCAAAUUCAUCUCUUCUUCCAUGUUCAAGUCUUCGAGAGGAUAAAUAUCGAUGCCAGCAUCCUGUACAAGCAUAGCAAUGUCAGAGAAGCACGGGAAAAUUUUAGCACAUAUGCAAGCAUGUAGGUUCACGGCCAAUGUAUUCAUUAACCAGCAUGCUCCGGGCUAGGGAAUAAGGGAGAGUUUGUGAAUGCUAAGACAUUUGGAAAGCUCGUUUAAAGAAGGGGAUUUGACCAAAGCUGCAUCCGAUCAAAGUAGUUGAGUGCAUAGUGAAUAGUAUUUUCCCGGUCCAUUUAAGAGAAACUUUUAUUUGGUGAAAACUGUACAACAAUGUUUGAUCAUUUCGAUUACCAAAAUGAUUAAUAACUUAAGAAUCAUCUCGAGGUUUGUUUUUAUCUUCAACGCAAUUCGGGUCCUUCAUCUAAAAAAACCGCCUAUAAAAACCAAAACCUCAGAGUAAAAGAACUAGAUAUUUCUCUUGCCGCUCCAAAUGGACUUCCAAACGGAAUGUUUGCCGGAGAAAAUAGGCUCAAGGUAUCGGGCCCCUUUAUAGACAUCAAGGACUAUAGAGUUGCAUAUGAUUGUGGGGAUGGACCCGCUGACAUCAAGGAAACGAGUGGUAGAUGAUACUAAGCUAUCCCAAUCUAUUUAACCAAGCCAGCAACAAAGGAAAAAUCCGUUUAAGAGCACUGGUGCUCCUAUUUUUAUAGCUACGACAUCAAUCUUGACGGUAUAUUUACAGCUCUCGUCCCAUGGAAUUGCUGCCCAAAUUACACACAUCCUUUUCUAUUCAUGUGUGCACAAGGGCAAGCGAACCUAUAUCUUGCCACUCUGUCCGUUCUCCUUUUAUAAUCUAGGCAAGGCAAUCAUAAGAGAUGCUGAAAAAUAUCUCCUCACCUUGAGCAUCUGAAUGCCUUCUUGAUGUGUAAGCAGCAAGGUCUUUCUCAAGUACUGCAAUUAAAAGUAACUACCCUUGGUUUUUUGGUAAAACAUUGCCUGUGUUUAUGUGUAUUAUUGCUUGACGUGGGGAUUCGAACCCCACCUCCCCUUUUCCAUGUAGGAUGGUUGGUCUGACUGUCGGAGAUUCACUCUUUCCGAAAGUGAAAUGCGAUAGGAAAGAACUGUUAUCGAGCACCGCGCCCCGUAUCAUGCUUGGUUGCCAAUGGUGCCCUUUCCAACCAUCUCUUCAAUAAUAAAAAAACCCUAGACACCUCUGCGCGCUCCGGCGAUCAAAGCGCCUCCUCCUCCCAUUCCUGCGAUCAGAGUGUAUUCUCACGCAAUUGCAAUCGAUUUCUCUCAUAAAAUGCCUCCCGUUCCCUCUUCCAAUUCCGGAACAUUCUUGCGCUGUCGAUGCCACCCAAUCCAUCGAUUCCUCCUUCAAACAACCCUAACCACCAUUGAGGCUCUGGUGGAGGAUGGGACCUAUGGGAAGCAUGGGGAUUUCCCGCUCUCGAAGUUACUGGCGAUGGAAGAGCUCAAUUUGGAUUACUCAAAAGUGGGUGCUCUUUCCCGAAGAUGUAGAGGGAGAUAGUCCUCGUGCGAGGGUGGAUGCAAGUGACUAGGUUGAUGGGAAAGAAAUUGGUGUUGAGGAAUACGGCUUUCUUGAUUCAACGCAUCGUCACGGCAAAGGCAGCAAAUGGGGCAUGUCGGUAAAGAGAUAAUGCAAUUUGUCUCCUCAUUGUCUCCAGAAUCCCUAGUUGUCAUAAAUGGCCUCUUCACUGUCCCUGCCAGGUCAGGAAUGCUUCCAACAGCACUAGAGAUUCGGGUUCGCAAAAUAUUUUGCAUCAACGGAAGGUUUCCAUCUAUCCCCUACAUUCUCAACGAG
rnacentral:lncRNA from 1 species